rnacentral:rRNA from 1 species
UACGUAGGGGGCAAGCGUUGUCCGGAAUCAUUGGGCGUAAAGCGCGUGUAGGCGGCUGGGUAAGUCCGCUCUGAAAGCCCGGGGCUCAACCCCGGGAGGCGGGUGGAUACUGCUCAGCUCGAGUCCGGAAGAGGCGAGUAGAAUUCCUGGUGUAGCGGUGAAAUGCGCAGAUAUCAGGAGGAACACCGGUGGCGAAGGCGCCACUCUGGGCCGAAACUGACGCUGAGGAGCGAAAGCGUGGGUAGCAAACAGG